rnacentral:rRNA from 1 species
UACGUAGGUGGCAAGCGUUGUCCGGAUUUACUGGGCGUAAAGCGUGCGUAGGUGGUUUGUUAAGUCUGAUGUGAAAGCCCUGGGCUCAACCUGGGAAUUGCAUUGGAUACUGGCAGGCUAGAGUGCGGUAGAGGGUAGUGGAAUUCCCGGUGUAGCAGUGAAAUGCGUAGAAAUCGGGAGGAACACCAGUGGCGAAGGCGACUACCUGGACCAGCACUGACACUGAGGCACGAAAGCGUGGGGAGCAAACAGG